rnacentral:rRNA from 1 species
CCUACGGGAGGCAGCAGUGGGGAAUAUUGCACAAUGGGGGAAACCCUGAUGCAGCGACGCCGCGUGAGUGAAGAAGUAAUUAGUUAUGUAAAGCUCUAUCAGUAGGGAAGAAAAUGACGGUACCUGUGUAAGAAGCCCCGGCUAACUACGUGCCAGCAGCCGCGGUUACACGUAGGGGGCAAGUGUUAUCCGGAUUUACCGGGGGUAAAGGGAGCGUAGACGGCUGUGCAAGUAUGGAGUGAAAGGCGGGGGCUCAAGCCCCGGACUGCUCUGGAAACUGUCCGGCUGGAGUGCAGGAGAGGUAAGUGGAAUGCGUGGUGUAGCGGUGAAAUGCGUAGAUAUUAGGAAGAACACCAGUUGCGAAGGCAGCUUACUGGACUGUAACUGACGUUGAGGCUCGAAAGCGUGGGGAGCAAACAGGAUUAGAUACCCUGGUAGUC